CGCGGUAAUUCCAGCUCCAAUAGCGUAUAUUAAAGUUGUUGCAGUUAAAAAGCUCGUAGUUGAACCUUGGGUCUGGCUGGCCGGUCCGCCUCACCGCGUGCACUGGUCCGGCUGGAUCUUUCCUUCUGGGGAGCCCCAUGGCCUUCACUGGCCGUGGGGGGAACCAGGACUUUUACUGUGAAAAAAUUAGAGUGUUCAAAGCAGGCCUUUGCUCGGAUACAUUAGCAUGGAAUAAUAGAAUAGGACGUGCGGUUCUAUUUUGUUGGUUCCUAGGACCGCUGUAAUGAUUAAUAGGGAUAGUCGGGGGCGUCCGUAUUCAAUUGUCAGAGGUGAAAUUCUUGGAUUUAU
rnacentral:rRNA from 1 species